rnacentral:rRNA from 1 species
UACGUAGGGGGCAAGCGUUGUCCGGAUUCAUUGGGCGUAAAGAGCGUGUAGGCGGCCAGGUAGGUCGGUUGUGAAGACUGGAGGCUCAACCUUCAGAGGUCGACCGAAACCAUCUGGCUAGAGUCCGGGAGAGGAGAGUGGAAUUCCUGGUGUAGCUGUGAAAUGCGCAGAUAUCAGGAAGAACACCCGUGGCGAAAGCGGCUCUCUGGAACGGUACUGACGCUGAGACGCGAAAGCGUGGGGAGCGAACAGG